AGUCGAACGUUGUUUU
rnacentral:miRNA from 1 species